rnacentral:rRNA from 1 species
GACAGAGGGUGCAAACGUUGUUCGGAUUUACUGGGCGUAAAGCGCGUGUAGGCGGCUUGGCAAGUCGGAUGUGAAAGCCCUCAGCUCAACUGAGGAAGUGCGCCCGAAACUGCUGUGCUUGAGUGCCGGAGAGGGUGGCGGAAUUCCCCAAGUAGAGGUGAAAUUCGUAGAUAUGGGGAGGAACACCGGUGGCGAAGGCGGCCACCUGGACGGUAACUGACGCUGAGACGCGAAAGCGUGGGGAGCAAACAGG